CAACGGGUCAAACCUAAAAAUAUGUCGCAGGGCGGACGGUGAUUGUGGGACGCCCUGAACCUGCUCUGUACUGGAUGCUUCGAGACAGGUUUCUAUAGUUUUGGGAGGUGGAUGCUGAGGACCUGAGCUGAGUGAGCGCUUCUCAACCAUCACUUUCAUCCUCUGCAAGUUCAGCGCAGACGACACACUUUCACUGUGACGCCGAGCCGGUGGGCUGUCGCAGGUGCAGCUGCUGUCUGGGGCAGAGAGAGGAGACAAAAACCACAGACAGUGAAUGCUGGAGUGUUGACAGUUGAUGGAAACGUCGUUAUAUGUCGAAAUCAAGGUGCAGCUCUGGAUCCCUGCGCCAGGUCCUGAUUGCAAGUUACUGGGCCGGGGAGGAGAAAUGUGAAAUCCCAGAUAAAACCUGGAGCUUUAAGCAGCCAUGAAGUGCAUGUAAUGAGGAAAGUGAUGGGGUUUGGGUGUGCUGAGCACACAGUCACAUGGAGGAUGUCUUUGAGUGAGAGUCUCUGUGACAUUUGUCCUCCCUUAUCCAGGAUUUAUAGAGGACUCACAAAAUUUAACAAGGUUAAAUCAGUAGGCAGGUUAGCAAGGCAUAAGCACGGCUUGACAAAAAUUAGUAGACACUAGACAACCUGUGAAUGACUUGUAUUGCCUUGAUGGACAAUAUUACAUGUUCAUCAAGUAAGACCAACACACUCUUAUUUGUGUUCAAACUAUUCCACGGUUUGGUGAGUUGAUGAAUUUGUAUUGAUUCAUACAAAAGCAUUUGUACAUUUUUGUAUGAUCUGCUUAUACUUUAUUGAAGGUUAGUUUAGGGUUGGGUUGGUUAUAGGGUUAGAAGUGGAUUUUCACGAUUACAUUUUUUAAAAUUAAAAUCAUAUGAAUUUGCCACCAAUCGGGUCGAGUGAAACAGUACAUUGAUACUGUCCUAUAUGGUUCCAGAGAUUAUGCACUUCUCUUUGUUUUUAUGCUCUGUUAGGGGUUUUGUACAACUGCUAAGCUAAUGACCGUAUUUUGCAGAGCCUAAUAAGUCAAAAAUGCAUCUGCCCCGGAAAAGUUGAAUAAUGGCAGAUAUUAAUGGAGCUGGGCCCUGAAUGAUUCCAGGGUUGGCGUGGUAGUUAAACGCAUUCCAGGUUUUGUGGAGGCCAUUAUUCCUGCUCCUUAAUCACCACCUCUGCUUUUAUUACCCCCAAAGCCUCACUGUGUGGCUCGGGGAAACCACAUGUGGGCACAGGCCAGGAAAUGUCGAGCAGACAAGAAAAUGUCUUCCUUUCCCCUUAAAAGUAAUAGCCUUAACCAAACACCAAAGACAGGCUGUUCUUAACCAGAUUUUGCUGUCUAUAAUCGUUUAUGGGAUAUUGGAUGCUGUACUGGAGGAAUUGUUGGAUACUGGUUCUCAGAAUGUUUUUGUUGAAGAUUUAUAAUAAGUAUGCAGUUAAAAUGAUACUAGGAAGUUUAGACAUCAUAUAGUUUUCAUGUGUCACUUGAGGUUGUGUUGAGAAAGCUAAUCUUAAAAGUCAUGCUGAAGUCAGUGCUUCCCAAAUCCAGUCCUCGGGACCACUUCCGAGAAUGUUUUAGAUGUCUCCCUAAUUUAACACCCUAACAACAGAUGAGUUGAAUCAGGUGUUUUAAUUAGUGAAAUGAAUAAAUAUAAAAUUCACAAAGAACUUUGUCUGAGUAAUGGGC
ensembl:lncRNA